AAUUGUAACACGACCCAACCCGCUUAAUAAACAGGUCGUGUUCGUGUUUACCCGUUUACCGUUUACCUGUUUAUAUAUAUAAAAAAAACGAAUAUAAUAAAAUGGCCCAAAAACAUAAAAUAAACCUAACUUCAUUUCUCCUUACAUCCGUCAUACAUCAAUGAAAUUAACCUAACUAUUUUCACAUUUCAUUCUAUGGUCUCUCUCUCUUCACAGCCGUCACACUCACUCUCUCUCAACUUCUCAAGAUCAUUCGGAUAAUAUGUCAUACUUCAUAUUCUUAAGAUGGAUUCUGGACCAAAAUCCACUCAAAUUGAUGGGGAAGAAGGUGACCUAGAGCUUGAAUUUGUUAAGGAAACACGAGCUAAAUCGGUUAAACAACAAAAGGGAAAGAAAAUCGGCCACACUUACAAGCCUGAUAAGAAUUUUAAGCGAUGUAGAAAGCUUACCUCUAGUGUGUGGGUGAAUUUUACCAUUUUAGAACCUGACCCUGAUGGUAAUUUGUGGUGUAAGUGUAAGAAUUGUGGCCAGAUUUAUAGUGCUGAUAGUAAGUAUGGUACUGGUAAUUUGCUUCGACAUUCUACUAGUUGUAAGAAGAAAUCCUACCUUUAAUACUGAAGUUUUUCGUAAUUUUCUUGCUGUUGCUAUUGUUAAGCAUGGGUUGCCCUUUCAAUUUGUUGAAUAUGAAGGGAUUAGGAAUGUAUUCUCUUACUUGCAACCUGACGUGAAAUUGUUCUCUAGAAACACCACAAAAAAUGAUAUAAUUAAACUUUACAAUAUGGAGAAAGUAAGACUUGGUGCUGCCUUGCAUGAAGUUUCUGGGAGAAUUUCUUUAACACCUGAUUGUUGGUCAUCUCUUACCACUGAUGGAUAUAUAUCACUUAUUGCACACUAUAUUGAUGAGUCUUGGACUUUACAAAAAAGGAUUUUGAACUUCUCUUUAAUGCCCCCACCCCAUACUAGUGUUGCUAUGUCUGAAAAAAUUUACACAUUGCUAAAAGAGUGGAGAAUUGAGAAAAAAAUAAUGUCAAUGAAUUUGGAUAAUGCUUCUGCAAAUGAUGUGUUUGUUGAUUGUUUGAAAGGAAAUCUUGAUUUGUUGUGUGAUGGGACAUAUUUUCAUAUUCGUUGUUGCUGUCAUAUUCUGAAUUUGGUAGUCCAAGAGGGACUUAAGGAGGUUGAUGAGGCUGUUUGUAAGGUUAGAGAAACUGUGAAAUAUUGUAAGGGUUCAGAGUCUAGGAAACAAAGAUUUCUUGAUUGCGUUGCUUAACUCGAUGGAACUCUACUUAUAUGAUGUUAGAGAGUGCUAUAUUUUACAGAAAGGAUUUUGUUCAUCUUCAUAAAACUGGUACUAACUAUGUGCAUUGUCCAACAAAUGAGGAGUGGUCUAGGCUUGAGAAAAUUUUCAAGUUUUUGAAAGUUUUUUAUGAUUUUACUUGUGCUUUUUCAGGUUCAAAAUACCUUACUGCGAAUCUCUACUUUCCUAAUGUUAUGAAGGUAAGAUUGUUGUUGAAAGAUGAAAUGGAAAGUGUUGAUUCUUUUGUUAGAAAGAUGGCCCUGAGAAUGUGGGGUAAGUUUGAGAAAUAUUGGUCUGAUUUCUCUCCCAUUAUGGCUAUUGCUGCGGUUAUGGAUCAUCGAUAAAAAUUUCAGUUGAUGAGUUUUGUAUAUGCCAAAUUAUAUGAUUCAAAUGCCUCUUUUGAGGUGUCAUGCUUGAAAGACAAGUUAUUUGAGUUGUUUAAUUCAUAUGUUACUUCUUCAACUCAAUCAAAUGGUGGAUCAUCCACACCUUUUAAAACUAAUGAUGGUGGUGUGAACUUUGUUCCUGCUGAUGGCUUCAUGAAGGUAUAUUGCCUAUUUACUUUUUUGUUUAUUAUUAAUUAUUAUUACUAUGAUUAUUAUUUAUUAGAAUUAUUUUUUUUACUUAUUGUAAAUAUGAUUAAUUAGGACUUUGAUGAUUUCUCCGGAGGGGAAUUUGCUAGUACUCCAAAAUCUGAACUUGAAGUAUGUUAAAUUGUGACUCAAAAUCUAGUAGGGCUGACUUUGAACGCUUAUAUCUCUAAAACUACAACUGAUUUUGAGAUGAUUCAAGUUGGAGGUGAUAGCUUGGUUCAAGAGCUUUCCAACGAUAGGUCAUAUGCCCAAUUCUAAUAAGAAACGAGAAAGUUAUGACCGUUUUACAAAAACCUGACGAAGCUAAAAAUUUGCAACGAGGCUGCGAGCUAUAGCUCUAUGCGAGUGAGCUAUAGCUCGGCCCUAUGAGGACUUGCGGCAGGCAUGAGCUAGCUUCCGAGCUAUAGCUCGGUAGUUAGGUUAUUCCAGGAUAAUUUAUGGAAUAUUUCCUAAAAUUAUAUCUUUUCUAUGACGGUUAUUUGAGUAUACUUGGGGAACAAUCUUAGUGUUUUAUUAGGGUUUCCUUGUGUUAUAAAAGAACCCUUUAGUUGAUCAAUUAGAUCAUACCUUAUUGAGCCAUUAGAUUUAAGACUCCUUGUAUUAUUCUCUUGUUUCUUUCUCCAUUAUAGUGAAGAAGCUCUCUAAUCCCCCACCCGUGGAUGUAGGUCUAUUUUGACCGAACCACGUAAAUCCAUGUGUUGUUUGUUUAUCUUCUUUAUUGUUUUUCUGAAUUCUUAUUUUUAAUUGAUUUGUUCCGCAUUAAUCAAACCCAAUUACACCAUUAUUUCCUAACAAAGUAUUCUUGGAGGAGUCUUUAAUUGCUCGUGUCAAUGAAUUGGACAUCCUUGAUUUUUGGAAAUUAAUUCAAUUUCGCUUCCCCAUUCUUUCUCUUAUGGCUAGAGAUAUCCUAUGUAUGCCUAUUUCAACUGUCGCUUCAGAAUCUUCAUUCAGUAUUGGUGGGAGGGUUUUAGACCCUGUUAGACCAUCAUCACUCAUGGUGUAAAAAUUUAUACCACCCUUCUCUCUCUACCACUUUCUCACUCCUCCACAUCAUCUAUACCACAAUACAAUAUAUUUUCUCCAAAAAUCACCCCACCCAUGGUAUAAAAAAAGUUUACUAUUUUGUUUUAUGUUUAAAAUAACUAAUUACUAUUUAUAAAGUUAAUUAAAUAAAAUAAGCAAUUUAUGUAGAAAAAAGUGAAUUUCAAAAAUAUAUAAAACUACAUCAAUAUGGGUGUCUAUGUGUAUGUCUUGAAAAAUUAUGAACAAUGGUAAUUUUUUCUUAAAAUGCAAUUGAAAAAAAUAAAUAAAGAUGUAUGACAACCAGGCCACAUGGCAUGACCUGGUUGGUUCAUGUUUCACGUGGAACGAAAUAAAAGUUUACCAUGGGAUGGUAUAUACCAUUUGAUGGUAUAGUUUUAUGCCACCAAGGUAGUAAAAAUUUGCAACUUUUGGAUUAAUAUUUACACCGUGGUAUAAAAUUAUACCACGAGUGUUGAUGCUCUUAGGAGCUCUUUAAAGCCAUCUGCUGUGGAAGCAUUGAUAUGUCUAAGAGAUUGGUUGUAUGGGCAGCAAGGUGAUUUUUUUAACUUGUUAUUUAUUUAUAUAUAAAAUUAUUGCAGUAUUAGUUAUGAUUCCAAUAGCCUUAUUCUUGUUUAUUCUUCUAUUUAGCUGAUGAGAUUGUUGGGGUGGAGGAUAUAUGUGACAACAUCAUGAAUUUAAAGCUUGAUAUUGAUGACACUUCAUGUCCAAGCACUACACCAAGUCCUGUUUCGGGUAGUGCUGGAAGUGGGAGCACUCCUUGUUCAACUUCCAAACCUGCCGUUAAUGUUCUUGAUUAGGUACCCUUGCAAGAGGAGGUGGCUUGAAUUGGUGGCAUAUGAAAUUUGGAAUUCAAGUGGAAGUUGUCAAUCUUGUCGUCACAAAUCAGCUUAUGGAAUGAACAUUUUGGUUUUUUUUUGAACAAUUAAGUGACAUGUAAUAUUUUGAACAAUUAAUAUUUUGGGCAAACUUUAAUUUCUGGUUUGUAAUAUUUUGGCCUUUUGGGCAAACAUGGCUACUAUGGUUUGUUUGGCAAUGUUGAAAAUAUUUGGGCCAAGUGAGCCUAUUUUUGUGGGUUAA